rnacentral:lncRNA from 1 species
GAGCGAGUGAAACAGUGCAGUGACUGAAGAGAAUUCUCUCCCGUUUCCCAUGAUUUAUCACAGGCGAGGUCACGGCAGGUUAAAAUACUUGAACGCCGCGAUAGCAUACGUCCUGGCAUGGUUUUAUGAGUAGUCAUUCAUAACAUAUUUGUCGCAAAGCAUAAUUUCCAAGAUAGAACCCUGAUCCACAUGCAGUUUUUUUUUUUUCACAGCAACAACACAGGCGCAGUAACUCCUUCGUGGAGACUGCUUCCAUUUUCACAAUGUCCAGCUCCACGCUAGAGCUUCGGGGAAAGGGACCGAGGAAGUGACUGGUUCGCCAACUGAAACUACAAAUCCUAGAGCUGCAACUAUAUUUUAUAAAUGGCCCUCGUUUGGUUCCUGCAUAACAAAUAGUGUCCUCUCAUUGAUGGGGGCUGUUUCAUGCGCCUGCCUUUUUGGAGAAAGAAAACAACUUCUAGUCUCAGGCUUGUAUGAAUCCAGCACUGUUUUUCACAACUUGUUUUCGCCUCAGCGACUUGACAUGGCUCCCUAUCCAUCGCCGGUCCCCACGCUCCACGGUAACGAGAUUUUAAAAACUGUCCAUUUGGCUCCUUCCUGAGGUUUUACUCAUUUUGAAACUUUGCCACGCUGGCUGGCAUGUUUCACAUUUGCUUAUCUCUGAGCUUACUCCCAAGAGCUGCUGAACUUUCCCUUCCAUGUCACUAAGCUGGGACAGAGUGAAGACGGAGAGGAAAGAGUUACUGUCUCACAAGCUGUGACUUUGUCUGUCCAGAGUGGCCCUUGGAUGCAGCUCAUUAUUUGUGGAAAUAGUGUGUGCCACGGGCAAAAAUAACUUUUUAAAAAAAGCACAUCUCUGUACCCUCCUGAAGUCAUCUCAAAAUGAAGUCAAGAUUUCUCAUGAAACGGAGAGAGCUUUAUCAUGGCCCGAGUGGGUCCUUGAGUACUUGUCCCCGCCACAUUGUCUGCUCUGAGCAACCUGAGGGUCCAGACCAAGCUGAAAGAGGCUUCAUGAUGAGCCCUGGGACAGACAAGACUGGGAGCCUUGGUGAAAGGGAGGAGACCCUGUGUCCCCGGUUUUGCCAAGUCAGCCUGGCCCAUCCUCUGACGGCUAAAUCAACACUCUUUAUCCUGUGGCGACUGAUAACGCAUCCACCGCUUCCUGCCAAGGAGGAAAUCCUGAUGGGACAUUAUCAGGGGCGAGACAUCAUCCGUCAGCCGCCGUCACAGGAACCCAGGGCUCAUCCAGACCCCACGCCAAUCUUUCCGCCUUUAUCUGCGCUCCCCAAAUGCCUCAGCCUGUUUGCUGAUAGAGGAAUCCGGCAUCUCCUCUUCUCAAGGACCCGAAAAAGAUUCUUCGAUAGCAAGAAACUAAGCUCUCAGCUUCCCCAGCUCUCAAAGGAGAUGAUCUGA